GAAAGAUCAAGUUUCGAUCGUCCAGUUCAGCAAUACCCCAGCAGUUGAUUUCUACCUGAACACUCAUACUACCACAGAGAGUGUAUUGAAUGCAAUAAGGAACCUCAAACCAAAGGGAGGAAGACCACAGUAUAUUGGCACAGCUCUUCAGUUUAUAAAGGACAGAGUCUUGACUGCCACGGAUGGAAGCCGACGCCUUGAUGGUGCCAACCAGAUUUUAGUUUUAGUGGCUUCUGGCAGAUCACGGGAUUCUCCCAGAGGCCCAGCAAGCGCUCUAAAAAGGUUUGGAGUUGUCAUAUUCACUAUUGGAUCAAGAGCAACAGAUCCAUUUGAGCUACAGGCAAUUGCAUCCUAUCCCAGUUAUGCUUAUUCUAUUCCGGAUUUCCAGAAUCUUUCAAACCUCAGGCAAAAUUUAGUUGCUGGACUAGCUCAAGUGAAAACAAAAGAAGAAUCAAAAAUUGUGGAUGAAAAAGACACUGCAAAAAAAGACAUUAUUUUCUUGCUGGAUGGCUCUGACAAUAGUAGAAAUGGAUUUGCAUCAGUGCGCAACUUUGUCAGUAGAAUUGUUGAAAAUCUCAUGGUGGAGGAAAACAAAGAUAGAGUUGCUGUUAUUCAAUUCAGUAAUGUGCCAGUGGCAAAUUUUUACCUAAACUCAUUUUCAAAGAAGGAAGAUGUGUUAAAUUCUAUAAGAAGUCUAAGACACAAAGGGGGAAGACCCCUGAACACUGGGGCAGCGCUCCAGUUUGUUAAGGACAAUGUGUUAAUUUCUUCUUCUGGGAGCAGACGUCUGGAGGGUGUUCCUCAGCUGCUGAUUUUGCUGAGUGGUGGGAGGUCCAGAGAUAAUAUUAUUUCACCAGCUUCUGCACUUAAAGAGCUUGGAGUUUUCACCUUCGCAAUUGGUGCAAGAGGCUCUGACAGUAGAGAGUUGGAGAAGAUAACCCAUGAUCCUAGGCGUGCUCUUUCGGUGUCAGCAUUCACUGAACUUCCAAAUAUCCACGAACAACUACUCUCCUCAAUAGAGACAGUAGUGGUGCAUAUCACAACAGAAGCACCGACCGUUAUAGUCGGUGACAAGGCCAGAAAGGAUGUUGUGUUCCUAUUGGAUGGCUCUGAUGGCACUAGAAACGGAUUCCCAGCAAUGCGAGACUUUGUUCAAAGGGUAGUGGAGAAACUGAAUGUGGAGGAGAAC